rnacentral:rRNA from 1 species
GAACUUUCCAGAGAUGGAUUGGUGCCUUCGGGAACUGUGAGACAGGUGCUGCAUGGCUGUCGUCAGCUCGUGUUGUGAAAUGUUGGGUUAAGUCCCGCAACGAGCGCAACCCUUAUCCUUUGUUGCCAGCGGUCCGGCCGGGAACUCAAAGGAGACUGCCAGUGAUAAACUGGAGGAAGGUGGGGAUGACGUCAAGUCAUCAUGGCCCUUACGACCAGGGCUACACACGUGCUACAAUGGCGCAUACAAAGAGAAGCGACCUCGCGAGAGCAAGCGGACCUCAUAAAGUGCGUCGUAGUCCGGAUUGGAGUCUGCAACUCGACUCCAUGAAGUCGGAAUCGCUAGUAAUCGUGGAUCAGAAUGC